UAGGCUGAAGUUCUCUGGAUUGAGCGUUUAGUUGUUAAUUAAAAGGUCGUAGGAUAAAAGCCCACCAGCCUAG
rnacentral:tRNA from 1 species